UGCGCAAGUCAUUGGGACAUAAAGCGAAACCUAAAGGCGUAAUGAAAGUGAAUGCGUGCCACUUGUGGCCGUAUAGGGAGGAUGGGCAGAUCCACGGAUCAGCUCCGCACUCCCGGGGCGUCUCAUGUUCAUAGCGAACUGAGGCGCACCUAGAGCGUACACGCUGGGACCCGAAAGAUGGUGAACUAUGCCUGGUCAGGACGAAGUCAGGGGAAACCCUGAUGGAGGUCCGUAGCGAUUCUGACGUGCAAAUCGAUCGUCGGAACUGGGUAUAGGGGCGAAAGACUAAUCGAACCGUCUAGUAGCUGGUUCCCUCCGAAGUUUCCCUCAGGAUAGCUGGCGCUCAAAAUGCAAAAUGCAGACAGUCCCUAAACGGGGCGUGCAAACUAAAGAGUUUCAUCCGGUAAAGCGAAUGAUUAGAGGCAUUGGGGUCGAAACGAUCUCAACCUAUUCUCAAACUUUAAAUGGGUGAGAUCUCCGGCUUACUUGAUUUUUAAUGAAGCCGCGAGAAUUGAAUCAGAGUGCCAAGUGGGCCAUUUUUGGUAAGCAGAACUGGCGCUGUGGGAUGAACCAAACGCAGAGUUAAAGCGCCUAAAUCGACGCUUAUGGGAUACCACGAAAGGCGUU
rnacentral:rRNA from 1 species